UAGUUUAGGUGAGGAAUAGUGAGGUGGCAAAUGGGAAGGAGAGAAAGGGGUGAGUGAGAAAGAGAAAGAGAGAAAGAGAGAAAGAGAAAGAGACGUUGAUCGCAUCAUCGAUAUCAGAGUGUGAUUGUGAUUGGGUCGAGAAACAGAGGGAAUCGAUUGGCAGUUGAAGCGGUGGGAGGGUAAUGAUCGAUACAUGUGUGUAUGAAUUCAUCCGAGUGAUACAAGUGAGCGAGUGAAAGUGGUCACGGCGGCGUGGUGUUCAGGACCGGUGGAUCAGAAGGGAAGGGAAAGGAAAGGAUGGGUCGGAAUCAGAGGGAGAGGGAGGAGGGAGACAAGCACGCGGGGCUCCUCAAAUUGGCCCAAAUCCUCACAUACCUCGUCGUCUUUGCGGGGGGAGUCGUCAUGGGUCUCACCACCAGCUCUCACAUCCACAACACCAAUUUCAUAUCUCAGCCCUACCGCAACCCUCAUCACCCUAACAAUUAUAUCCCUAUUUCCAACUGUUCUUCUUCCGCAGCCUCACCACCACCACCACCGCCUUCUUCCCCUCCUCCUCCUCCUCCGCCUCUCGACAUGGGGGAGUUCCUUCAUCCGCCCAACCUCACUCAUACUCUGUCGGACGAUGAGCUGUUCUGGAGGGCUUCCUUGAUGCCGAAGAAAGAAGGGUACCCUUUCCGCAGAAUCCCGAAGGUGGCUUUCAUGUUUCUGACCAGGGGUCCCCUUCCCAUGUUGCCCCUCUGGGAGAGAUUCUUCAACGGCCACGCCCCUCUCUUCAGCAUCUACGUCCACGCGCCUCCGCGAUUCCAUCUCAACGUCUCCGAGUCUUCCCCUUUCUACGGGCGCCAAAUCCCCAGCCAGGAUGUUUCGUGGGGCACCGUGACGCUGGCAGAUGCUGAGAGACGGCUUUUGGCAAAUGCUCUGUUGGACUUCUCCAAUGAGCGGUUUGUUCUCCUUUCCGAGAGCUGCAUCCCAAUCUACAACUUCCCCACUGUCUACCGAUAUCUCACAGACUCCGCCCACAGUUUUGUUGAAUCCUACGAUGAUCCCACCCGCUAUGGCCGCGGUCGCUACAGUCGCAGUAUGCUUCCUCAUAUUCAACUUCGACACUGGCGUAAAGGCUCUCAGUGGUUUGAACUCAAUCGUCUUCUUGCUGUGUAUAUAAUCUCUGACACCCAAUAUUUUUCCCUCUUCCGAAAAUAUUGUAAGCCUGCCUGCUACCCGGAUGAGCAUUACAUUCCAACCUUCUUGAACAUGUUUCAUGGUCCUCUUAAUUCCAACCGUACCAUCACAUGGGUUGACUGGUCAAUGCUGGGUCCUCAUCCUGCAAGCUUUGGGAGAGCCAAUAUAACUGCCGAUUUUAUUCAGGCUUUAAGGAACAACGGUUCCCUCUGUCGAUAUAAUUCCGAGAUGACUUCCAUUUGUUACCUCUUUGCCCGCAAGUUUGAUCCCAGUGCACUCGAGCCCUUGCUAAACCUUUCUUCUCAGAGUGGAUGUAUUCUUCAAAUAGAUGUAGUUGAGCCUUCAUUAUGCUACUUCAUGUUAACACAAAUAUAUUUUGAAAAUUAUACAGAUGAAGAGAUUGAUCGCUGCUUUGAAGAAUUUUAUGAGGAUGUCCACACAGAACUCUUGAAGUUUGGGGAAAUUGUGAACUUCAAGGUUCUUUUUUACUGCUGGUUGAUGAUGGUAUUCACCUCUCUUCCAUUGAAUUGGAGAUUUCAACUUUAAAUGAAAGCUUAAUUUUCCCACUAACUUGAGCACAUUCUUUCUCACCAACACCCAUCUUUUUCGAGCAACAGUUUGCAGCUACGCAUGAGUUUUGUCAGUGUAGCACUGUUCUGUUUUUCCUGUCCAUUCCUUUUCCCAGUAUGACUAUCAGGGUUAGCCAUCAACCAUUUUUGGGCCUAGAAAACCCAAACCAAAAUAACCUAAGGACACAAGUUUUUUUCUUGUCUUUGCCCACUCAAUUUAUCGGGUUAUCUGUGGUUCUGGGUGCUAGAAUAAGUAUUAAAUUUGGGUAGAAAGUAGUUGUGUUUGGAACUACUAUCUGUUGUACCUAUAAGUCGUACCUAGGUUUCUAGUUCAGUCUUUUGAUCUUCCAUCUUCUCAUUAUAUCAAUCUUUUAUCAUUAUAAGUAUGAGAUAUAAGAGGGGUCUUUUAAGCCCUCUAAAAUAUAUUUUCUCUCUUAUUAAUCUUAAGUUAGUAUUAAAGCGAGUCAAUAUCGCUGUAUUGGUCUCAGUCUUCUUGGGUGUCUUUUUCAUUGUCAUCUAUUGUUGUUGUCUACUGCCAAAAUUUUCUUCAGCAACCAUUGGAACUAGAGCGUCUAUCCAAGCAACGGCCAACCCCAUCAGUCCCUAAGCCUAUCUCUACUCCGUGCGCCUCCAAACACGCACUUUCUCCUCCCUACUGUUGGGUGCGUCCGCAUGCCACCUUCCUUUCACCAGAGCAACGUUGCGACUCCUGGUUAGGGCACGCCAGACCUCCUCAGUGUUGUUUUGGUCCCUGACCGUCCUUUUGUUCUCUGACUUGGUUAAUGGGUUUGCUAAGGUUUUCUUAUUGGCUAGUUCUUUGUCCCUGUUAGUUUCCUCAAACUGUGAUUGAAAUGUCUACUGGACCUACUAUUUCCUCUGGAAUUCCUUCCAUUACCGCUUGGAAACUAAAUGGAAAAAUGUAUAUGUCGUGGUUUGCCUUUGUUGAAAUGUGGUUGGUUGGCCAAGGUUACCAUGACUACCUUGAACAAGAUGGAGGUAAUGUGCCUUUUGAGCAAGCUGAACCAUGGAAGUGAAUUGAAUUUCAGCGGUGCGUUUCUGUGACAGUCUGCAGAACCUCAAUUAUUGGGUACCACUGUAGAAGGUCAAGAUCCAGAGAGAUGGAUCAGAUAAGUUGUGGUCAUUUGUAGAAGAAAACAUGAAAAUGAAAGAAAGCAAAGAACUCCCUAUGAGGAUCUGAAUGCUAGCUUAAAAAACACUCAAAAGAAAAUCCAGAAUCAGAACUCCUGAUAAUGAUUCUGACAGAAUGGUAGAAAAGGAGGAAAUUAGGGAAAGACGCCAUGAAUACACUAGGAAUGGCUCAUUUAACAAGAACAGGGAUGAAAAUAGCAGAAGCCAUGAAGAAGAUUGGAUUGUGAUACUAGGGACAAUAAAAAACAACAUGGAAGAAACCCAAGAAAGUGCCACAAAGACAUCAGGGUCUGGAUUAAUGAGGCUGCUGGUUUGGAUGGGGACAGAGAUGUGAGAAGGCGCUGUAGUAGGGAAAGCUCGGGACAUCAGAGUGGUGAUGCUUCUGAAUCCGACAAAGAUUUGUUUGUCAGAUUCCCAUUUUUUUUUCAAUGAAGUUUAGUGUAUUUUAUUUUUCAAUUUCUUUCCGUAUUUAUUCUUUUUUUUUCCUAAACCUUCCGCUUUUUCUGUUGAUAAUAUAUCUACGACUUUGAUUUGAUGCA